CCUAGCUCCUAAACCCGCCGAUCUCUUCCUCCCCGAGCCCUCUCUCUCGCGUGAUUUCCUCACCAAAUCGCCUUCUGUUCUCAGCGCCAAAUCGCGCCGCCGAGCUCUCCUUCCCUCUCCCUCUCGCUUAUCCCCGAAACCGUAGUCGGCGCCUCUCUCACAACCUUGCUUGUCGCCGAUCAUCGAGGCCCGACGCCACGCCAACUGCUGCUGACGCCGAUCCCUUCAUCCGCUGGCCUCUUCUCCUCACGUGAGCACCAAAGCCGCGGCACUUUUUCCCUCGCACGAGCAUCCCUGGACAUCGCCGGCCUCUCCUCACGGGAGCAUCACAGCGGCGAUCCCUCUCCCUCGCACGAGCACAACGGACCACAGCCGUCGAUCCUCUUCUCUUCGUGUCGUGCCCUAACUGGUGAGCAAGUACAUGUCUAUAUGAUGAUGUGGAUUCAUGGGGUAAAGGAUAGGAGCUUGGGAGGGCCUGUUUUCUGCUAGGGUAAGAACAUACGGAUGAGAUUCAGUGUGGAAUUGGAUUUCUCAACGUGGAUGGAGCCGUGGAUGGAGCUUCGGAAUCGAGUUCUUGGUGUCUCUCGCGGGGUUUAAUGGGGACUUUGGCUCGAGACGAGUACUACGAUGCAGGAAUUGUUUAGCUCGAUCUACAUUUAAGGCGGGUACUUCUUGCUUUGUCUCUUUAGUUCUUUGAACUUGGUGCGUGAGCUAUUUUUGGAUAAGGACUGUUUACCUUGACUCCACUCUUACUUUCCUGUGA